rnacentral:rRNA from 1 species
AGUGAACGCUGGCGGUAGGCCUAACACAUGCAAGUCGAACGGCAGCACAGUAAGAGCUUGCUCUUACGGGUGGCGAGUGGCGGACGGGUGAGGAAUACAUCGGACUCUACUUUUUCGUGGGGGUUAACGUAGGGAAACUUACGCUAAUACCGCAUACGACCUACGGGUGAAAGCAGGGGAACUUCGGACCUUGCGCGAAUGAAUGAGCCGAUGUCGGACUAGCUAGUUGGCGGGGUAAAGGCCCACCAAGGCGACGAUCCGUAGCUGGUCUGAGAGGAUGAUCAGCCACACUGGAACUGAGACACGGUCCAGACUCCUACGGGAGGCAGCAGUGGGGAAUAUUGGACAAUAGGCGCAAGCCUGAUCCAGCCAUACCGCGUGGGUGAAGAAGGCCUUCGGGUUGUAAAGCCCUUUUGUUGGUAAAGAAAAGCAGCAGGUUAAUACCCCGCUGUUCUGACGGUACCCAAUGAAUAAGCACCGGCUAACUUCGUG